UCCUGGAAUUCACAACCCUCAUUUAAAAAUCCUUAUAGUUGCAAUAUUUUUUUUUUAGCCAGUACGUAAGAACACGAUUGCACUUAUUUACAUGAUAGUCUUCUAUAUAACAAAAAUAACCAUGUUGUAAUGACUGUUUCCAACUAUCACCCUUGUUUCAUCACUAGCCCAUUAUGAGACAAGUUGAUUACGCUCUCCAAGUACAAAGAGAAUAGAAUAAAGCAAAAUAAAAGUCUGUGUCUCCUAAUAGAAGACAAAUUCCUUUAAAGACAGUUACUUUUUUUUUUUUUUCAAUUUCUUUGUAUUUCAAGAGGGAUAUAAAGUGCUCUGAAAGGAGUAGGGUAGGUGCCUGAGGUGGGGAAGAAGGAAAGAAAUUUAUACAGAAAAAAUUUAAAAAACUACACUGCCUUAACUAAUCAUCUCAAUAUGCACACAACUUUGUACAGAAGAUUAGUUUUGGGUAAAAACGCUACAUAAUUCACUAGUACUUAUUUCGGCAAUUAAGAACUGAAGUCCAAAUGAAAGACUCCCCAUGCAAAUGUCAUCAGGAGUGACUUUUUUGUGAUUUUGGGUCAGAUGCUAUAUAAAUCAAGGAAGCUCAGUCACACAGUCUGAAUAUGGAGAGGAUAGACAAUGCCGAGAUGGAACCAUCAUCUACUACCUGCAGACUAGCCAGAAAGACCUUGUGGGGAAGCUAAGUAGACUUUACCCCAACAUCAAUCAUUUUACAACAAAAGCAUUUUGUUGCAAGCAUUUGUUUACAAUAAAAGUAAUUUGUGUUAGGAUGGAAAAAAAGCCAUUGGAAUUUCCUCUUGCUAGUAGGGAGGAAGAUUGAUUUAUGAUGUCAUGUCUGAUUAUUUAUAAUUGUAAAUUCAUUAUUUGCAGAUUUUUUUCUAGUGGGAAAUAAUAUGCUGUACAAAGUGGUUAAAAUAAGUUAUUUCUUUUUCACAUUUUUGCAACUGGCAAUUGCUGGUUAUUGUCUGCAGUCUACAAAACUGAGUAUCACAUAUGUACUGCUUGAGAGUUUCCCCUGGAAACCAGAAUAAUCAUCCUCCCAGCUCAUGAACAUUUUAAAGAACAAUACCCAUUUUUUUUUCCAGAAAAUGGAUGGAAUGUAACUUUUCACAAAUACAAAAUUAUUUCAUUUUCUAAAUGUAAGGGACACCCCUCUAUAAAAAUAACAGUCCCUCCCCACUCCCACCCCUACAUCUCCUUCUAAUUAUAAAAUGGUAGAACCAUCUCAGAUUACUAAUGUGAAAGCAGGAAGUAAAUAUAUUAUGUACAUGUACAAAACACAUCAGUAUUUCACACCAUUUACAUUCAUAUGAAGUCUUUUUAUUGAUCUUCCUUUGCAAUUUCACAAGAAUAAAGUUGAGAUAACUUACAAAAACAAGCAGUCCCUUGCUUAUAACUGCACAAACAUUCUAGCCAGAGGCAUCUUCUUUGCAAACAGAGCAACAUUAUCCUUCAACAUUUUGCAGAAGUAAGGGCUGCUGACAGUGAGAAGAUCUGUGGGGUCUCCUUCAGCUUUUUAGAGUUUGUGACACUCUUUCCUCAUUUGAUAAAUGUAGACCAAAUUCUCAACUACCGAAGAAAUUGUAUGAUGAAAGGCAAGUAACUGGUUGUUGAAUUCAUGACCCAAGUCAAAUUAAUCUGCUGCAAGAAUAAUUGCGAUUACUCCAGCAGAGGGCACUCUGCUCCUUGCAAUAACAUCCUACUGAACAGUAAGUACCAUGGAUGCCAACACAAAUUCAGACCGAAAAGUCCAUGUAUGUGUUAGUUCUUCAACUGCUCUACUAUACCCAUUAGUACAGGCAACAGUUUUGUAUCUUCUUCGAAAGAGCAGGAUAUACUAUAUUUAGCUAGCUCUUAUACAUGAAAAUUCUUUGGCUAUUUAAAAUCUUCACAUUCUCAAAGAGAACAAUGUUCUGAGUUCAGUAAAGCGCUAGAUUUGUUGGAAAGUUUUGAAGGAAAAGGGGACUAAACACUAGACUUUAAAGAUGGUGUGGUACUAAGGCCACAAUUCAUUUUUUAGAUUUCGGGAUUUAGUAAGGUCAAUCAACAGUCUGCAACAGAAAACCCCAUAAGGUUUAAUGGUUUCAUUCAACCAUGCAACCCACCUUCGCUUUUAUUUAUGAGAACAUUGGGAGAAAAUUCAACUAGUCAAUGGAAGAAACAUGUGUUCAUUUGGAUGGUGAUCAGUCUUUGGUUUAUAUAGCACACAUGGUCCCCACAUUACCCUGCUUCUCCAAGCCUGUCACUUCACUAAGGAUAACAGACCACAGAUAUUCUGCCAAGCAAUGACUUUGGGUAAUUGAGAUUAAGCGACCUUCUCUAAGGAUUUUUCUCCCUCACUGUGUUCAGACAUUGCAGACCUCUUAAUAGACGUGUAUAUUUUUGUCUUAUCAUCAGCAAAUAUUUAUCAGGUGGCCACAGAGCAAAUGGCUCUGUAUUAAGUGCAAACGUCAGUGGUAGCACAGAAUUAGAAGAUCUUUGAUCACUGAAAUUCCUGAAAAAGCCACGUGAUUAUGAAGCACUCAAGGCAGGUGAAGAGAGAUGUGACUGACCUUAGCAGGUUCUUGUAGAACAAGCAGGAUUGCAAUCAAAUUGCUCGAUAUUAAGGGGCCACGUCUAGCAUCUGGACUUGCUUCAUUAGUUCUGGGAUGAUAACUUGGUGUCAAUAAAAGGUGUAGAGUGGAAGAGUGUGGCUAUUGAUCUGUGGGUCUUUAAAAAUUAAUGUUCCUAUUACACAGGGUCUGGGGUUGAGUGAGGACAAAAGGAGGGAAAAGGAAGAGCUAAGGGAUGAUGAGAAACUCAUAUUAGCUUCUUAGAAUUAAUUUAUUUUUCAGGCAAUCCAGACCUUCUUUGCAAUCAUGAGUAUUUUAACUCAUGAGUAUUUAAUUCCUUAAAAAUACAAACUCCCCAAAACCCAGGUCAGCUCUAAACCUAGGGAUGAGCAUUUACUUGGGGACAGCACGCACAUUUUGUUAAGCACAGAAGCUUUCCAGCCCUGCUUUGACCAGCUCCCUGAUCAGAGAUCCUGCCAUCCUCUUUUCUUACUUCCUGCAGGGUGACACUCCCAUCCCAUUUUAACUGCCAACAUCAAACGUAUUCAUCCAUGCAAUGGCAUGGAUGAAGGACCUCGGUGGCCAAGAGCACUGCAUGAAGAACCAUGCAUCCCCAUCUUAAGAGGGUAGUCUCUUCGUGUCUCUUUGUCAGUCUUCAGGAAUUAGUGGCCCUCAGAUCACUUACGAUGAGCAAGCACUUGUGCUAAGUAGUUAGGAAGAAUGGGCAUUCCAUCAGGUACAGUAUACAAGUUUUUCCAAGAAAUCCUAACCCUGGGGGCUCAGGCGAAUGAGGAGGGUCAAAUGCUGAGGGUGGGAGAAAGCAGAUCUAGACAGCAUUCUGGAAUUGUUGCUUUGCCAUUAUUUGCCCAGAAAACAUUUAUGGCAAGGAAGCCUGAAAACAUGGCAAUGGUUGUAAGAUGGGUUGCGAUACAACUGGUGAUGUGAGAAGUGAAAAUGAAACUGACUCCUUUAGGGAGGACAUUGGUUUAUAGUAAACAGGUUUGCCUCAUCAGAAGUGAAUAUGGAUAUUGCUACACAAUAAAAAGAGGAAAAACACCAACAACAGUAACAAUGGUAAUCACAAUAAUGAUAAUGACUCUGUAGGUAUAGAACCUCCAGUUUUUUGUGUUCUGAAGGUUAUUUCAGAGUUUCUUGCAAGAGAGAAAACAAAUCAGAAAAAAAGGGGAAGAGAGAAGAUGGGAAAAUAAUUUAUGUAUGGGUAUACAAAGUAAGAUAUAGGCAGUCAGAGAAAAACAGAUACAGACAGAAAAGGAAAAGAAACUUAGAGAAGAUAUAAAAAUGCUACUGGAAAUUGCCUCUGUGGCCUUAGUACCAGAAAAGACUGGGCUCUCGCUCCACAGAGGGAGUGACUCCAUAGCCCAGAUUUUUUGAAAAGUUUUGAUUUAAGGAUUUUUUUUUAAGUCAGGGUGAUACAUUCAAUGGAUAACUAAAUGUCAUUUAAUUUUUUAUGCUCUGCAAAAAUAUCCAUCUAAACAAAACUCAUAAAUAAGAAAGAAUCCUAUGUUAGAUCACUGGCAUUGAUUUGGUUUUGAGAGUAUGGUAGCCUCAGGGAUGUCAGGGCAGUAACUGAAAUGGCCACUGGGCAUGGUGAGCUUUGAAAUGACCAAACCCAGAUCUAUGAAUUUCCAGGAUAUUUCACCAGGAUGAAGGAAAUGUUAAAAACAAGAAAACAAAACAAAACAAAACAAAAUGAACAUUUUUGGACAGAGCUUUGCCUCCAUGAUUCUGAUCAUUACCAUGUGAUGUCAAAAAUGGUUCUCCCAAAUACUCUUCAAUGAACAUACAUCACUUACUCAUUCAAGACAUUAUCUACCGUGUCCCUACUGCACACUAAGGAUUAUGCUAGAGGCUAUGGAUAUAGGGGAGAUUAAGACAAUCCCUAUCCUGAAGGAGCUCAUUGUCUGGUGGGCAGGUUGACCAUUUACUAGGCAAUUACAACACAGUGAGAUAAGCACCAGGAUGGAAGAUGUACCAGGUAUUACAGGAGCAGGAAGUGAUUGUAGCAUGAGAAGAUAAGGCCAGGGACAGAACUUGAAGAAACCCAAACACCUAGAGCAAAAGACCCAAACUGGUGACCCUUGAUGCUGUUUUGUUUGGCCUGGACAAUGUUUUGUUUUGUUUCAAAUGUGAAUUAGUUACCAAUAUUUGCAAGUCAGGAC
rnacentral:lncRNA from 1 species